rnacentral:rRNA from 1 species
GAUCCUGGCUCAGGAUGAACGCUGGCGGCGUGCUUAACACAUGCAAGUCGAACGGGAAACUUUUCAUUGAAGCUUCGGCAGAUUUGGUCUGUUUCUAGUGGCGGACGGGUGAGUAACGCGUGGGUAACCUGCCUUAUACAGGGGGAUAACAACCAGAAAUGGUUGCUAAUACCGCAUAAGCGCACAGGACCGCAUGGUCCGGUGUGAAAAACUCCGGUGGUAUAAGAUGGACCCGCGUUGGAUUAGCUAGUUGG